GUAGGUGAACCUGCGGAAGGAUCAUUAUUGAG
rnacentral:rRNA from 1 species